CACUGACCGCCCCGACUGGCCGGGAGGAACCGGCAUUGACCGCCGGGCCGGAGGGGAGGAUGGGUAGCCCGGGCCCCUCCCAGCUCCAAAGGACUAUUUGCAAGAAGAACAGAGCCUCUGGCCUUGGGGAUGGACAUACAACGGCAGAAAUGCUCCCUCCAGCCAGGCAUUCCUCCUGCAUAUCACAGACAGGGACCAGACUGGUGACUGAGGAGGCCAAGAGUAUAAUUUUCCAGAAAUAUUGAAUUUAUUUAUUUUUUUAAAUAGUGUUCUUCAAGUUGUGGUUUUUUUUACCACAGCCUCUGUGGCAUUUUUCUCCUGGAACUUUCUCAUAGAGUGGUAUGAAAUGUAAUUUAUUCUUACAGAAAAGUAUUUAACCUACAAAUUGAUUCCCCAAAGUAUUAAAAAGCAAACAAAAAACAUUUAUCAAAUUAAUUACAUACACUAAUGAGACAAAACCUUGUGGUGCAUGUGCAUAAUAAUUGUAGAUCCAUUUUUAGCUUAGUGAAGUUUGUCCUUAAAACUUACUGAGGGAACUUCACAAGGAAUCCAAAUAGACAAUUGUAGCACUACAGAAUUCAUCACACUAUUGAUAGAAUUUAACAAUGAAAAAUACUUUGUUAAGUAUAUUUAAUACAUUUUCUUGUAUCGAACACAUUUUAAUUGUGUUUAAUAUAUAUUCAUUGUGUUUAAUGCAUUUUAAAUACCUCUGCCUGAAUAUGCAGACCCAUUACUCAUUUUUAUAUUUUUAAUCGUUUGCAAAAAAGGCAGGAUUUUAUUUUUAUUAGUAAGUCACUUUCCAAAUUUCAUGGAAUUAAGAAUUGAAGAUAAUUUAUCCCCUUUUAAAAAACACACAAAGUAGUGAAACCAAUGUUGUUCAUAUCAGAAACUAAAAUGCAGUAUGAAAAUCCA